rnacentral:rRNA from 1 species
UCUUCCGCAAUGGACGAAAGUCUGACGGAGCAACGCCGCGUGAGUGAUGAAGGCUUUCGGGUCGUAAAACUCUGUUGUUAGGGAAGAACAAGUGCUAGGUGAAUAAGCGGGCACCUUGACGGUACCUAACCAGAAAGCCACGGCUAACUACGUGCCAGCAGCCGCGGUAAUACGUAGGUGGCAAGCGUUAUCCGGAAUUAUUGGGCGUAAAGCGAGGGCAGGUUGUUUCUUAAGUCUGAUGUGAAAGCCCACGGCUCAACCGUGGAGGGUCAUUGGAAACUGGGAGACUUGAGUGCAGAAGAGGAAAGUGGAAUUCCAUGUGUAGCGGUGAAAUGCGUAGAGAUAUGGAGGAACACCAGUGCCGAAGGCGACUUUCUGGUCUGUACCUGACACUGAGGCGCGAAAGCGUGGGGAGCAAACGGG